rnacentral:ncRNA from 1 species
AAUAAAUUUUAUAAUGAUUUAGAAAUUAAUUAUAUUUUUUGAUUAAUAUAUAAAAAUUUUAUAUUAAAAAUUUAAAUAAAUUAAUAAUUAGAUUUAGGAAAUUAAUGAAAGUUAAAUUUAGAAAAAAAAAUUAAUAAAGAUUAAUUUGGUGCCAGCAAUAGCGGUUAAACUGAAUUUGUAAAUUAAUUUAUUAAAUUAAUAUUUAUUUAAUAUUAAAAAAUUUAAAUAAAAUUAAUGAUUUAAGGUGAAAUUUGAUUUUUAAUUAUUUUAAAUUUGGAAAAUAAAAAAUAUAAUAAGAUAAGAAGAUAAACUAGGAUUAGAUACCCUAUUAUAUAAAAUAAUUUAAAUUAAAUUUAUUAAUAAAUGUGAAAUCAUUAAAAUUAAAUUAUAUGGCGGCUUUUCAUUCUUAUUAGAGAAAUUUGUAGUUUAAUUUGAUAAUCCACGAUAAGAUUUACUUAAAUAAAAUAUUUAUGUAUUGUUGUAUAUUUUUAUAUAAAAUUAUUUAUAAAAAAUAUUUAAUAAAAUAAUAAUUCAAAUCAAAAUGUAGUGUAUUUAAGAAUAUAUGAGUUAUAAUAAAUUAUAUUUAUGGAAAAUUAAAUUUUAAUAUUAAUUUGAAAGAGGAUUUAAAAGUAAAUUUAAUUAAUUAAUUAUUUUGAAAUUAGUUUUGAAGAGUGUACAAAUUGCCCGUCAAUUUCAAUUAUGGAAUAAGUCGUAACAUAGUAAAAAUAUUGGAAAAUGUUUUUAGAUAAAA